rnacentral:tRNA from 2 species
GGAGCGGUAGUUCAGUUGGUUAGAAUACCGGCCUGUCACGCCGGGGGUCACGGGUUCGAGUCCCGUCCGCUCCGCCA